UUUACAAAUCCUGCAAGGUGAAGUGGGUGGAAUUCCCACGCUGUCGCGCAACGGUUAUAGCCCGGUCCCUUGUAUGGU
rnacentral:ncRNA from 2 species